rnacentral:rRNA from 1 species
CCUACGGGUGGCAGCAGUGAGGAAUAUUGGUCAAUGGCCGGAAGCCUGAACCAGCCAAGUCGCGUGAGGGAGGAAAGCGCAGAGCGUUGCAGACCUCUUUUGCAGGGGGAUAAAAGGCCGGACUCGUCCGGUCCUGAGUGUACCCGAAGAAAAAGCAUCGGCUAAUUCCGUGCCAGCAGCCGCGGUAAUACGGAGGAUGCGAGCGUUAUCCGGAUUUAUUGGGUUUAAAGGGUGCGCAGGCGGUCCUUUAAGCCGGCGGUGAAAUCGCGGGGCUCAACCCUGCCGAGCCGUCGGAACUGGGGGCCUUGAGUGCGGCGAGGGCAUGCGGAAUGCGUGGUGUAGCGGUGAAAUGCAUAGAUAUCGCGCAGAACCCCGAUUGCGAAGGCAGCGUGCCGGAGCGCGACUGACGCUGAGGCACGAAAGCGCGGGGAUCGAACAGGAUUAGAUACCCCUGUAGUC